GAUGAACGCUGGCGGCGUGCCUAAUACAUGCAAGUCGAGCGAACGGACGAGAAGCUUGCUUUUCUGAUGUUAGCGGCGGACGGGUGAGUAACACGUGGAUAACCUACCUAUAAGACUGGGAUAACUUCGGGAAACCGGAGCUAAUACCGGAUAAUAUUUUGAACCGCAUGGUUCAAAAGUGAAAGACGGUCUUGCUGUCACUUAUAGAUGGAUCCGCGCUGCAUUAGCUAGUCGGUAAGAUAACGGCUUACCAAGGCAACGAUGCAUAGCCGACCUGAGAGGGUGAUCGGCCACACUGGAACUGAGACACGGUCCAGACUCCUACGGGAGGCAGCAGUAGGGAAUCUUCCGCAAUGGGCGAAAGCCUGACGGAGCAACGCCGCGUGAGUGAUGAAGGUCUUCGGAUCGUAAAACUCUGUUAUUAGGGAAGAACAUAUGUGUAAGUAACUGUGCACAUCUUGACGGUACCUAAUCAGAAAGCCACGGCUAACUACGUG
rnacentral:rRNA from 1 species